rnacentral:tRNA from 1 species
GCGCGGUUAGCUCAGUGGUAGAGCGUUUCAUUGACAUUGAAAAGGUCAGAAGUUCGAUCCUUCUACCGCGCA